CGUGCUAAGCACAGAAGCGCACACUGAGGCAGGAAACAUCAGCUUUCAGAUUAACGGCCCUAAAUUUAGUGAGUUUUGAGAUAGGGAAGUUCCGCUGUAAUUCAAAGUAUCUUUCCAGAGAUUCAUCUUUAACCUUUCUUUUUCCUUCCUUUUCCUCGCUGCAGUGGUGGGCAGCAGAGAGGACCCGGGUAACAGCGUGAGUCUCUGAUGAGAGGUGACACGGUCAGCUGGGGCCGCAGGGGCUCAGAGCAAUGCCGCGCUGGCCCGCCGGGUGGCAAACUGCUGUCAUGAGUGACUCAGCAGAGUUGGACGAGUGUCCCCUGGAACCCUGUGAGCUGGGAACCUGCCUGGACGUGCCUUCCUGCUCCUGAACCAGAGGACCUGUUUGU